CCAUUUUUAGGUAUAUUAUUAUUCAUUUAAAUUCUUCUUUCUUUUUCUUAUUCAUGCUUUCAUGAAAUGCGUCAUAACACAGAGAAAUCACAUAAUCUUGUCCGUCUCGGGGCUCAUGCAAGAUUUAUUCCCCACGGACCCUGGUUUCUGAGAGGCUGUCUUUUUGCAUGCAUCUUUCCUCUCAGAGGAUGGACAUGACAUCAAAAAUCCCUCUGUCGGUGCCCGACUCCCCCAUAGGAGCUCACAAAGGCCUGUAACAUACAUGACAUGGUGUCUGAUCCACAGAGAGCUCACAUGGACUUUCCUACAUGUACUUGUCCGGCUCUCAAAGGACUAAGACAAGACUCGUGACAGAUAUGGGCUAUUGAAGUCGCCUCGGUCCACCCUACCUCAACAUCAACAUGAAAUAAUGCAAUGCAACAUAUUCGUGAACUAGUGCAAUCAACCUACUACAUAUAAUCAUGAUGCAUGAACAUGCUUUAGGCAUUAGAUUUUGUGCAUAAAAGAUUAAGUUUAGUUCUACUCACCUCCUGGCAGACGCUGACUGACUCUGCACCUGCUAGCACUAAUGGCCUCCUCGGUCUCUCGGGUCCGAUCCUACACAGGUGGACUCGAAUGAGGUGCCAAACACAUUCUAACAACUCAUAAACAACUCCCCAAAAACCCCUCUAAACAUCACUUAAUCAUGCAUGGAAAACACCCAAGAAACGGCUGGACAGGGCACUUUCGGCGGCACCUUCGGCGGCCGAAAGUCCCUUCCAGAGACGAAACUCGGGUAGGUUCGGCGGCAGGUUCGGCGGCCGAAACCCUAGGACAGAAACGAAAGUCCCUCCUUCGGGGGCACAUUCGGCAGCCUAAAGACUGCCUCCCAUGCAGGUUCGGCGGCCGAAACUCCUUUCGGCGGCCGAACCUGGUCCCCUCUGGACGACAGGUCCGAUUCUGCCAAGCCAAAAACCAAACUCAAAACACCCCAAAUCCUCACAUACUCUCUCCCAAUCAUGCAUACUCACUCCCAUAAGCAUAAAGGAGUAUAAACUAACAUAAACUCCUCAACACAAACAUCACAUAACAUACAUUGGGUAUAAAACCCACAUAAACCUUAAACAUGCAUAUCUACCCAUACACAACUAUCAAAAACUUCCUGAAAACACUAGGGAAACAAGGAUCUACACUUACCUCUUGAAGAUCGAGGGUGGUGUGACCCCUAACUCGGAGCUGUGGAGAAUCCAAGCUCCAAAAGCUCCAAGCUCCCAAAACUCCUUUUAAGCUUUAAAUCUUCAAACACAAGGGUAGAAAUCAUGAAAAACUUGAGAGAUGGGUAGAGAAAACACGAAAACGACCAAAGGAAGGCAUAAACUCACCUGAGCUCGAGAAUGGGGAGAAAACUCACCCAUUUCCGAUCUGAGGGCCUUUUAUAGGUGGCCUGGUCGAAGACCUUCGGCAGCCUAACGUGCCCCCUAAACUCAUGCAUGUUCGGCGGCCGAACUUGACUUUCGGCGGCCGAACCUUGGCUCGUUUAAACAAGACUUUCGGAGGCCAAAGGCGCUCCCGAAGCCUUCCCAUGUUCGGCGGCCGAACUUCACUUUCGGCGGCCGAACCUGGCAAACGCCUCCUUGGUCUUUUCUUUUCAAAACUCAAUUCUUUUCCAUUUAAAACCAUGAAAUUAUGUGAAAGCAUUUUAGAAAACACAUUUAACCCCUUCUAGGGAGAUCCAACACCUUAGAUUCCGCCGGAAGGCAGGAAUCCCGAUGCCGGAUUCUAGCCGGGUAUUACAUUCUACCCCCCUUACAAAAACAUUCGUCCCCGAAUGUUAAAACAACAAACACAAGCAUGCAAGCAAGUAAGCGAAUCCUAAAGCUUCUCUCCAAAGAGAGACACCAAACGCUGGAGUAAGAACUCCCAGGUUCCUAAACUCCACGAGCUUCUGCUGCGCUACUCUGAUCCUUCUCUAUCUUCCUCCUUCUCUACUCUUACUCUCCUCUUCUCAUCUUUACUAACUGGCUUCUUCUCACUACUAACCCAAAACUAACUCUAACUCUCACAGGUAGUACCCGAAUUUCAAAUCUAUCUGGGAAAACAAACAGCUCCUACUAGCUGUCCCAAUAGAUCAUCCAUCCUACAUGGGAAUACCUGCCCUUGGUAGUGACCUUGUUUAACCGCUUACAGUCGUUACAAAGUCUCAAGGAUUCAUCCUUCAUUUCCCACAACCAUACUGGAGCAAUCCAGAGUGAGGUACUAGGUCGGACAAAACCCCUUGUCUACCAAGUCUCGCCUCUACUCUACUGCUACCUCUCUCUAUGCAGGCGCCAUUCUAUAGGGAAGGGUAGAAAUGGUUCUGCGUCCAGACACCACUCCUA
rnacentral:lncRNA from 1 species